CCGCCUCCGUGUUCUCCCCAUUCUGCAAAUGUAUUAAACCACACUAUGAUAAUUCUUCAAUAUAAUAAUCUUUUUCUAUUGUCCUUCAUAUUCUUUUCAAAUACUCAAAACUCACCGUGCUAAUCUCACCUUCUGUUGUCCCAUUCCUCGCUAGUUUGUCCGGAAGCUCCCCUUCCACAAGGCACAUCUCCUCAAAUACUAUAUCGCUCAUAAAUUUGUCGUGUUCCUUUUGGAACGAAGUCUGUUUUUCUAUGGGCUUUGCCACUUCCCAUUCAAUGAUACAUUUGAUAAUUAAAUAUGUGACAUCUAGUAAAUAAAAUUACUGAACAAAAACAUUAUUCUGAGUAAAUACACCUGACCUUAUUCUCUUUCUUCUUGAUUACCUUUCCUUUGCCGCCUUCUUCUUUUGUUUUUUCACUACUUUCACAAAUGUCUGGAACAUCCUUCAAGACCGCUCGUUGCCGAUAAUGAUCCCAGUAUUCUUCAAAAGAUAUGUCUCUGCGCUUAGGCAUCGUUGCACACGGAGGCGUGCUCAGAGGAACUACUACUGGCAAU
rnacentral:lncRNA from 1 species